rnacentral:RNase_P_RNA from 1 species
CGAGUUGGCAGGGCGGCCGCGGCCGGGAGCGCUCCUCCCGGUCGAGGAAAGUCCGGACUCCGCAGGGCAGGGUGGUUGCUAACGGCAACCCGGGGUGACCCGCGGGACAGUGCCACAGAAAACAGACCGCCUGGGCCCGGUGCUCAGGUAAGGGUGAAACGGUGGUGUAAGAGACCACCAGCGUCCCGGGUGACCGGGGCGGCUCGGUAAACCCCACCCGGAGCAAGGCCAAGAGGGCGCCCACCAGGGCGCCUGCGCGAGCGACAGGGCGGCCCGUCCUGCUCGCGGGUAGGCCGCUAGAGCCUGUCGGCGACGGCAGGCCCAGAUGGAUGGCCGCCACCCGAAGUACACCUUCGGGUACAGAAUCCGGCUUACAUGCCAACUCGUCCG